CGGACGGGGGAGUAAUGUCUGGGAAACUGCCUGAUGGAGGGGGAUAACUACUGGAAACGGUAGCUAAUACCGCAUAACGUCGCAAGACCAAAAGGGGGACCUUCGGGCCUCUUGCCAUCGGAUGUGCCCAGAUGGGAUUAGCUAGUAGGUGGGGUAACGGCUCACCUAGGCGACGAUCCCUAGCUGGUCUGAGAGGAUGACCAGCCACACUGGAACUGAGACACGGUCCAG
rnacentral:rRNA from 1 species